UCGAAGUGAACAGAAAAAACAAGCCUGGACUCGAUCAUUUAAAGAGUGGCAAAACCUUAUUCAAGAAAGCACCCAAUUUACAUAUUGUUUGUAAAUUAUCAGUCUUCAAUAAAGCUUCAAUAAAGUGAUGUCAUGACAUCCCUAGCCAUGAGUGUAUCACAGGAGCCUGUCUAACAGGAUGGAAACAGCAAAAGUCUGAAUUCAAAUUUAGGCUUGAAUAUUGAAAUGAAAAGAGGUGAGCUUCAAUUUAAAUCAGCAGACACUGAAACAGAGCCAAAAAAAACUGAUAUGUAAAUACUGUAUGAGAUGCAGACUACACGUGAAAAUAAAUCAAAUGUUAUUCAUGUGUUUUGAAGUGUCCAAAUAUAUCGAGGUACACAGUGUUUUGCUCAUGUACUUCUGACACACUGUGUUUCCCAGACCACCCUGAAGCUUCAGCCACUGGUGGAGUCUCAUUUAUUACUUGCAUCCUUUGUACUUUUCAUUCUAAUCCAGCAUCAAAUCAUCCGUGUAUAGAAAAUGAAAGGAGCACAUGAGCAGCAAACAGGGCAAAAAAAACUGACAGUUUUUGCUGUAUUUGAAAAUGAAUCUGUCACUUUAAUGAUUUGAACAGAUUUUGCGAAUGAUUAACAGAGGGUCAUGUACCUGCCAGUGUGCCGCAUUUGGUUGGUUAUUUAUUUCCAACUCUGACAGCAACAUGGCACCCAGAAAAAAGCAGUCUGGCCUUAAAAGAUCACACCAGGGUGUCAAAGCUCUAACACGAAUGAGGCUUGCAAGUGCAUUAGGGUGUGCUGCAACAAAAACAUGGAAUAAAAACAUUAUUUAGCAGCCCUCAUUCAAAUGACAAAAAGGAUGUCUCCUGCACAGCCAGUUGCUUUCAAGGGGUGCUGGUCAAGCUCAGGAAAACCUUUUUUCUUUUCUUUUUUUUCUUUCUUUUUUUUUUUUUGGCAUUUCUGCUUUAUUUGAGAUAAACAAAAGGCAGGAGAGAGAGGGGAUGGCAUGCAGCAAAGGGCCUGCGCACAGACUCAACCCCAGGCCGCUGCACUAAGGAUUUAGUACACACUCUGCCAAGUUGUCUUUUAGUUCCAAAAUGUAUUGAAAUAAUGUUUGUGUUCAACAGAGAAUGGAUGGGGACAGAGGAUGCAAGGGGCAAAUCAAAGACAUACUCUGAUAAUGCAGCAUUUGUAAUAAACAGUUAUCCAUACAAUGCUUUUUUGUAUGAACAUCAAUAAAAUUCUAUGAAAGAUAUUUUGAA